UACCAUUUUAAAACGAGAGCACUAUUAAACUCGCAGUUUCCACGAGUUGGUCGUUGUGAUAUAAAGAUCUGUUCCUUCUCUCUUUUUACUUUUUGUUUUGAAAAUUAUUCGUAUCCUAGGAUUCGUGAUUUCGUGCGAAAAUGUUGCAGAAAUUAUUAUCGUUCGUGAUAUUUUUAUCGAUUCUUUUCUAUUGUUGGGCACAGGAUUUUCCUUGUGGGACACGCUCACCACAAAAAUUGUCGAAUACCAUAGACGGUUGUAUAGCCGACAAUGAAACUGCAAAAGUGUGCAAUGGCCGUGGCCAGUGUAUUUGAGGUUUUUAUAAAUGUUUUUAUCAGACAAUUUUUCUUGAAAUCGUGUCGCGCGAGUCUAGAGUAAUUAUUUAUUAAAAAUAUUUUGUCUUUCAAUGAAUGGACAAUUUCAAUGAAACAUUAAAAACCUUUCCUGUUUUAUGUACAAUUUUCGUAUUUGUACAAUGGUCAAGGAGCUUGUGCAUGUGGAAACUAUCGUUGCUAUUCGGGAAAGAUUGACACAGCUUCCGAUUGCAGCACGUUCACUUCUGGUUGCAUAGAUCCAGAAAAUAGCGAAGGAUUUUGUAAUGGUCAUGGAUAAUGCGUUUGCGAGAAAUGACGGGAAAA
rnacentral:lncRNA from 1 species